UCUCAUAAGCUUGUCGAUAUCCUCCUUUCGUAACCUAGCCGACUCAUUCGCCUUCUUCACCGCGACUUCGUAGAUCUCCAUUUGACGCCGAAUCAGCCAACCCUAUGCCGAAGCCACGCAUACCGACGCCGAAUCCUACUUCUACCUCCACCGUUUCUCAUGGAGUAAUGGAUACCCAAGCCCUUUGCCUUCUUGAAAGCCUUUGAUUGUUUCUAUUUAUAUGAUUGCUUAGCUUGCUGGCAAAGAAGGACCACACAAUUGAGGUAACUGAAGCGCCGGUCUUCAGUAGUGGAGCUUGAAAAUUUUGGGUUUUAAUUACAUCCAGUUUCCUUCAAAGUAUAAUGAUUUAUCAAUUCUUUGCUUUUUGCCUUUCUUUGUCUAAGUUGUCUCCAGGUCUUUUUCCGCGUUGAGUUAACCUAGUUAAGGAGAAGUUCCUCAAUCCUGCCGGAGAGUAUCGGUAUAUAUAUGUGCAGCGCCCCAAAUUGCGAUUUGGAAGAGAGGAAAGAGGAGGAAGAACAUCAUUGUGAUGUGUUUGACUCGUUAAUUAGCCGGAUUUCUUCUCAGAAAAUAUGUUAUUGAUCUAAUUGGAAAAACGAAUUAUGGUAGUAUAAAUGUAUAUGAGAUCAAUAUAUUAUUUUGUGGGUCACCUAUCUUCAAUUUGACAAACCAUUACAAGUAUCAAAAUAUAAAUUAUAAUGAUGACCAAAGGUUGUGAAAGCGUCUUUUGAGGAGUUUCUUAAAGAACCUUUCCUGAUUUUAUCCACUGAGUUAAAUUUUUUCUUUCUUGCAGACAAUUCUUUCUCAAGUGAAUGUGUGCUGAAUUAAUGGAAGCUGCUAUGGAUGAAAAGUCGCUCGAAGCUAUUAAACUGGAAGCUGUUGAUUUGUUUUCAUAGCAGAAGGGAAAUUUGUUGCUUCGUUGAAUAUGUUUCUCUUUAUGUGUGCUAUGGACCUUCCCAUCCAAAGCUUGUAUGGGACCUUAUCACCUUGUAUUGAAAAUAUAACAAAUCUGCAAUCUGUGUUGCUGCAGAAUAAUGCAAUUUCAGGACCUAUUCCUUCAGCUAAGUUGGGGGUAACAUCGUGGAAAAUGAAGCACCUUUCCUCCUAUGGAGUAUGCACUAAAGCUAAGAGAAAUAGGAAUCCUCGGUGAAGCAUCGUCAAAAUACAAUGCCUUUCUUGCAUUAUUAGGAGACAUGUUUGCAGAAUGGUUUAUCACCUAUUUGAUUUUCGUUAUACUAUAAGGACUUAAUGUUACUAAUUAUUU